rnacentral:rRNA from 1 species
UAACACGUAGGUAACCUGCCCAUGUGUCCGGGAUAACUGCUGGAAACGGUAGCUAAAACCGGAUAGGUAUACAGAGCGCAUGCUCAGUAUAUUAAAGCGCCCAUCAAGGCGUGAACAUGGAUGGACCUGCGGCGCAUUAGCUAGUUGGUGAGGUAACGGCCCACCAAGGCGAUGGUGCGUAGCCGGCCUGAGAGGGUAAACGGCCACAUUGGGACUGAGACACGGCCCAA